GUGAUGAGGGUUUCGGCUCGUAAAACACUGUUGUAAGAGAAGAAUGACAUUGAGAGUAACUGUUCAAUGUGUGACGGUAUCUUACCAGAAAGGAACGGCUAAAUACGUGCCAGCAGCCGCGGUAAUACGUAUGUUCCAAGCGUUAUCCGGAUUUAUUGGGCGUAAAGCGAGCGCAGACGGUUAUUUAAGUCUGAAGUGAAAGCCCUCAGCUCAACUGAGGAAUUGCUUUGGAAACUGGAUGACUUGAGUGCAGUAGAGGAAAGUGGAACUCCAUGUGUAGCGGUG
rnacentral:rRNA from 1 species